AUAUGGCGAGGCAUCCCUAAAAGGAAUCACAUUGAGGAUCCAAAUUUAUUGUUUAAUUAAUCACACAUGAAUGCGUCACCAAUACUCUCGGGUUUUUCAUGUUGCUCUUCUUCAGAUCAAUUAGUUAUUAAUGUAUUAUAAGAAAACAAUAGAAACAUGAACUCGAUCCGAUGAAGCCUCCUAGAACCGUCAAACUCUAAUUCUCACCGUCUCCGAUGCUAAUUUAGAG